rnacentral:RNase_P_RNA from 1 species
GUAAGUCGGGUAGUUGACUUCGGGACUAGAUAUUAAGUUAUCAAAAAUCGAAAUAUAGAUUUUAGUUCUGAGGAAGGUCCGCCCACCAUAAUAUAAGUCAUUUGUAGAAAUGCAAAUUGCCGUGAGGUAAAGCUCCGGAACAGAAAUGACACAGCUCGUCUUGAGUAAUGAAGACAUGGUUGGAACUUUGAGAGACGAGAUUUGAUGAAACAGCCGUCUUGACUGGUGCAAGGCUUUAUGCUGCAUAGUGGAAUGUCAACACGUUCUGUCAGACUGCGAAAGCAGACUGAGAACGACAGAAGGUGGCCUAUUCCCGACUUAC